CUUGUGUGUGUUUCAGACCCAACAGCAGGUUUUGCGAGUUCUGACACUGAUAAUGAGUUUGUUCUCUGAAAGAAGUCUGGGCCUCUGUGUGGAUAAAACAAACAUUUUAAAUUGAAACUCAUAAAAGAAUGAAAGAGCCAAAACAUUCUUAUUUAUUUUCUCUGUGAGGGGUAGAUGGAAGACUUUGGUGUCUGACAGGUGCAGCUUAUGAGCAGCCUGGACAGCAGCCAGAAGGUCUUGUAAGAACAGACCAAGAAGACCACACCUGCUGAUUGAAAACACUGCCUUCUAACACAACAGAGAGACUUGUGUCAAAUUCCACCCCUGCUUCCCACUUUCCACAUGGACUGAUUUUCAUUAAAUGAAGGCCAGUACCAGGUCCCACGGGCCUGGUUUUCACAUCCUCCCAAGUAACAGGCUCGAUAUGAGCAGAGGCAGUAAUUAGAAACUUUUAACCCAUUGGGAUUUUGUUAUUUCUUCCUUAAGGGAAGUUUGGGAGAAACUGUUUUCAUCCAAAAGUUUUUAUAGAAUUUGACCUAUGACUCUUACCAGGAACAUGUAUGUCAUUUACUCCUUCAUGCACAUAGGUUCUAGUAUCAAUCAUCUUUGUCUUCAAACAUCUUACCCAUGGCGACCAACAGCACCACUGCAUACCUCUCUAAGUAAUGGGCUCCAUGUGCAAUAUAUGUGUUGCGUAGUGAUGGGGAUAAAGGCUAAGCUUCAGUUUGCUGCUGUCUUAUGAGCAAGUAUGAUUCUGUUUACAUCCAUGCAUCCUUGGACCUGCAGUGACAUCAUGUUCCAGCAGGGAUGCCAACUUGCAGCCUGUGGACUGCAUGCAGCUCAGGAUGGCUCUGAAUGUGGCCCAACACAAAAUUGUAAAUUUGCUUAAAACAUUAUGAGGUUUUUUGUGUGUGUGAUUAUGUGUCACAAUGUAUUUAAAGUAUGGCCCAAGACAUCUCUUCUCCUUCCAGUGUGGCCCAGAGAUGCCAAAAUGUCAAAUGCCCCUGUAUCUGAGCAGAUACAUAGUGGAUU